GGAGAAUCACUUGAACCUGGGAGGUGGAGGUUGCAGUGAGCUGUGAUCGGACCUGCCCGCCCGACCUGGCGGCGCAGUCUCGCGGGAUCGCUCAGCUCUCGCUCCCCGUGCGGCUCUCGAGGCAGCUCCAGUCCCGGACGCUCCCCGGAGCCGUCUCAGUAAUCGACCCAGGACUUAUUUUCAGGAAAACCUGAAAAUGAGUAAAAUCGUGAAAUGAGGAAUUUGAAUAUUUUAUCUUUGGAUGGGGAUCUUCUGAGGAUGCAAAGAGUGAUUCAUCCAAGCUAUGUGAUGUAUGAAAAUGGCCUACAACAUGACAUUUUUCCCUAAUCUGAUGGGUCAUUAUGACCAGAGUAUUGCCGCUGUGGAAAUGGAGGUGAGUAGUGCUUCAUACCUUUAUUGAAAAGUAGUUUAUGCUCUGUUCUAGAAACUAGU
rnacentral:lncRNA from 1 species